rnacentral:rRNA from 1 species
UACGGAGGGUGCGAGCGUUGUCCGGAAUCACUGGGCGUAAAGGGCGCGUAGGCGGUCUUUUAAGUCUUGUGUGAAAUCCCUCGGCUCAACUGAGGAACUGCACGGGAUACUGGAAGACUUGAGUUCGGGAGAGGGAAGCGGAAUUCCGGGUGUAGCGGUGGAAAUGCGUAGAUAUCCGGAGGAACACCGGUGGCGAAGGCGGCUUCCUGGACCGAUUACUGACGCUGAGCGCGAAGCUAGG